UACGUAGGGUGCGAGCGUUAAUCGGAAUUACUGGGCGUAAAGCGUGCGCAGGCGGUUUGCUAAGACCGAUGUGAAAUCCCCGGGCUUAACCUGGGAACUGCAUUUGUGACUGCAUGGCUGGAGUGCGGCAGAGGGGGAUGGAAUUCCGCGUGUAGCAGUGAAAUGCGUAGAGAUGCGGAGGAACACCGAUGGCGAAGGCAGCCCCCUGGGCUAACACUGACGCUCAGGCACGAAAGCGUGGGGAGCAAACAGG
rnacentral:rRNA from 1 species